AUUGAACGCUGGCGGCAUGCCUUACACAUGCAAGUCGAACGGCAGCACGGACUUCGGUCUGGUGGCGAGUGGCGAACGGGUGAGUAAUGCAUCGGAACGUGCCAUUGAGUGGGGGAUAACGUAGCGAAAGUUGCGCUAAUACCGCAUAUUCUGUGAGCAGGAAAGCAGGGGACCGCAAGGCCUUGCGCUCUUUGAGCGGCCGAUGUCAGAUUAGCUAGUUGGUGAGGUAAAGGCUUACCAAGGCGACGAUCUGUAGCGGGUCUGAGAGGAUGAUCCGCCACACUGGAACUGAGACACGGUCCAGACUCCUACGGAGGCAGCAGUGGGGAAUUUUGGACAAUGGGGGCAACCCUGAUCCAGCCAUGCCGCGUGAGUGAAGAAGGCCU
rnacentral:rRNA from 1 species